rnacentral:piRNA from 1 species
UUCAUGUGGUGCUACUCUGUGUGCAAAGCC